UGGGGAAUAUUGCACAAUGGGCGCAAGCCUGAUGCAGCCAUGCCGCGUGUGUGAAGAAGGCCUUCGGGUUGUAAAGCACUUUCAGCGGGGAGGAAGGCGGUGAGGUUAAUAACCUCACCGAUUGACGUUACCCGCAGAAGAAGCACCGGCUAACUCCGUGCCAGCAGCCGCGGUAAUACGGAGGGUGCAAGCGUUAAUCGGAAUUACUGGGCGUAAAGCGCACGCAGGCGGUCUGUCAAGUCGGAUGUGAAAUCCCCGGGCUCAACCUGGGAACUGCAUUCGAAACUGGCAGGCUAGAGUCUUGUAGAGGGGGGUAGAAUUCCAGUUGUAGCGGUGAAAUGCGUAGAGAUCUGGAGGAAUACCGGUGGCGAAGGCGGCCCCCUGGACAAAGACUGACGCUCAGGUGCGAAAGCGUGGGGAGCAAACAGG
rnacentral:rRNA from 1 species